rnacentral:sRNA from 1 species
UUACUAUUGAAAAUAGAUCUCACAUACACCGACACAUCAUUCUGGGUGCCGGCUUUUCUCAAUGAGCUUCUCUCGAGAGGUCUCUCUUGAAAUAAAGCCUGGUCGAAUGCAUGGGGUGUGUGGAGGCAUAAC